GUUCAUCUCGACGGCUGUAGUUCCGUGUUCAUCUCGACGGCUGUAGUUCUGUGUUUAUUUAGACGGCUGUAGUUCCGUGUUCAUCUCGACGGCUGUAGUUCCGUGUUCAUCUCGACGGCUGUAGUUCCGUGUUCAUCUCGACGGCUGUAGUUCCGUGUUCAUCUCGACGGCUGUAGUUCCGUGUUCAUCUCGACGGCUGUAGUUCCGUGUUCAUCUCGACGGCUGUAGUUCCGUGUUCAUCUCCACGGCUGUAGUUCCGUGUUCAUCUCCACGGCUGUAGUUCCGUGUUCAUCUCCACGGCUGUAGUUCCGUGUUCAUCUCCACGGCUGUAGUUCCGUGUUAUUAAAAUUUACGCCUGUGUGAACGCCUCUACGUAGAAAUGAAGGUGAAGUCAAUUACAAACACAAAUGAAAUGGCAGCAUCAUCACCUCUUAAUUCAUCCAAUUGAAGAUAACAUGAACUCACUUAAAUAAAAAUAUGGAAACUUUGUAAAUGUGUUAAAAUGUUUUACUUUGUGUUACAGAGACGUCUCGUUGUCAGGCCAACAGCAGGAUGAUGUUCAACUACUGAAUCCCUCUGAACCCUGAACACAACAGGGAGUGGUGAUGCCGCAGUGGUUAAGAUAUGUGCCUUUGGUGUGAGAGACCUGGUUUCAAUUCCUAGUGCAACACUUCACCAUUGUGCCCCAGAUGCUUAACUCCUUGUUUCUCCUUUUUGACAUAUAUAGCAAUUGGAAGUUACUUUGGAUAAAAGCAUCAGCUAAAUCAAAUUCUUUGGAGAGAAAACCACAACACUGCCGGCCACUCGCAGAGGAAGGAGGAGGCUGUUACAUGAACAUGAAGUGAUCAGAGCGCAGAUCUCAUUUCACCAAGUGUCAGGAUGGAGGGAACUAUUCUUCUGUGGCUGCUCUUUCUGACGUCACUGCUGAGCUGCACAACAAACCAGGCUCUUGCAGCCUCUCUGACUGUGAGUCCCAGCAGCUCUCAGCUGUUUGAAGAUAAAUCUGUCUCUCUGAGAUGUGAUGAGGACGACAGCUCUGCUGGAUGGACGCUGAGGAGGAACACAACCAGACGACAGAUGACUCAGUGUGGAGCUGGCUGGGGAAGAUCAGCUGGUUCUUCCUGUAGCAUC